CAGCAGCCACGGUAAUACGAAGGGGGCUAGCGUUGUUCGGAAUAACUGGGCGUAAAGCGCACGUAGGCGGAUCGAUCAGUCAGGGGUGAAAUCCCAGGGCUCAACCCUGGAACUGCCUUUGAUACUGUCGAUCUGGAGUAUGGAAGAGGUGAGUGGAAUUCCGAGUGUAGAGGUGAAAUUCGUAGAUAUUCGGAGGAACACCAGUGGCGAAGGCGGCUCACUGGUCCAUUACCGACGCUGAGGUGCGGAAGCGUGGGGAGCAAACAGGAUUAGAUACCCCCGUAGUCCCUGUCUCUUAUAC
rnacentral:rRNA from 1 species